UUGUAUUUUUAGUAGAAACAGGGUUCCACCAUGUUGGCCAGGCGGGCUUGAACUCCUGACCUCAUGUGAUUCGCCCGCCUCGGGCUCCCAAAAUGCUGGGAUUACAGGUGUGAGCUGCGGCGCCCGGCCAACAUUUCAGUCUCAGUCUUCCUCCUUUGCAUUUUCUGGCGAUUCUAUUAUAACAUUUACCCAGUAAAAACUCAUUUGGGGCAAGACAUAUGGGCAGGCUAUUCAUAAAUAAUUACCAGUGGCCCAUGGACUUAUAAAACUUUAACUUCAUCUAUAAUAAAAUGCAAAUAUACCACAUGUAAACUACCAAAAUAGCGAAGAUUCUUACAACUACUGUAUUUCCUUAGGGUGGAAACAGACUUUAGUAAGAUCAUUCUAGAGAGCAGUUUUGCAAUUGUAUCAAUACCAUUUAAUUAUUUACAUAUGUAUGUAUGUAUUUUUGAGACAGGUUCUCACUCUUGCCCAGGCUGGAGUGCAGCUUCAACCUCCUGGGCUCCAGCAGUCCUCCUGCCUCAGCCUCCCAAGUAACUGGGACUACAGAGAACUCUUACCACUGUCCUUGUGUGUUAACAAUCUGGCUCCUGCUCUGAGGUGCACCUUCACUUGAUGAGGGUGCCUGAUAAACAGAUUGCCGCAGUGAGAUCGGCCAGGCUUCACCUGAUUAAACACUGAGUUGAGAACACGCUGUCUCUAUUCUUUACCAAAGCAAAGUCCAGACACUCUUUCACACUGGCUCCUCUGCUAUGCCUUCUUACAGACCUUGGCUUUCUUUUCUGUCUCUGGAUGAUGUUAAUCCUCACCUGGUUCUAGCUCCUGACUUACCUUAUUCUGAUUGCCUGCUUUUGGCAACUUACUGCUCUGAGUUAACUGCCUUGCUCCACUUCACUUCAUCUCGUUUAACCCCUUAAUGCACCCUAUUUUCACUAUGUUCUUGAAAAGAUCUCAGAAUACCUCUGCUUUAAUUAUAAAAGCAAUUAUAUAUCCAGUGAGUGAGAGGACACCGUGAUUUCCAUUUCCAUUUAUAAACCGCCCAUCAUCACUCAUAUUUAGCUCCGAGUCUCAUAACUGGACCAGCAGCCUUGCAUGUCUAUUUUACUUCCACUUUCUAGGCCCAAACUGUUUAAAUUUAUGCCUUAAUUUCAUCUGUAAACUUGAAUUUUACCAGGUUAUUCUUGAAAUUAAAACUAAACCUCUUCUAACAUUAGGUUCCUUCUAACAUUCUCCCAGUUUUCCAUCCCUAAACCACAUAUCAGAUCAUCAUGUCCUCCUUGCUGCUAAAUUCACUUAUCACUGCAUUCAUAUUAAAUUUCCUUGACGUAUGUCUCCUUCACUGUGUCAUUUUUAUAUUUUGUUAUUAGUGCCUUUUCUCUCAAAAGCUAAUUCUCUUUGAAAGCAAUGUCUUCCAGUCUAGGCUCUUUUUUUUUUUUUUUUUUUUUUUUUUGUUUUGGUAGACAGAGUGAGACUCUGUCACCCAGGCCUGGAGUACAGUGGCCUGAUCUUGGCUCACUGCAACCUGCGCCUCCUGGGCUCAAGCAA